CACCGCGGUUAUACGAGAGGCCCAAAUUGACACACAAACGGCGUAAAGGGUGGUUAAGCAUGAUUUAGACUAGGGCCGAACUUACCCCUGACUGUUAUACGUUACGGAGUAAAGAAGCUCAAAAACGAAAGUAGCCCUAAGAGUCUGAACCCACGAAAGCUAGAGAA
rnacentral:rRNA from 1 species